CUUCUUUUCAUUCUUAUGCAGGGUGAUUGUUCGGUGCUGAUACAACAUUGACUUUUCCCAUAAUUUAGCUUAGAGUGUUUUACACUGGGGAGUUUCAAUGUGUUUAAAUUGUAAAACUUUUUCCAAGCAUUUUUGUAGCAGAACUCCAUGUCCCCGGCAAAGUUGUUUUCAAUAUUUUUUCUCCACGAAUUUUCAUGAAGGUUUAAUUCCAUUUUACCUUUGUCAAUUUUCCCCAAAGAUAAAUUAAGACACGCAGAGAGAUUGUCAUUUCCUGUCUGAAGUCUCAUUCCUGUGUACAAUGGAGGUCUUUUUUAUUUAGGCCUACGCCAUUCCAUCAGGGUAAGUAACUUUCUAAUUAGUCAUUAAGAGCAACUUCUGGGAAAUUGUGAUGCAAUCCCACAUGUCAGCCAGACUUCAAAAGCGACCAGAUUAUUGUGAAAGGAGAAACACUGUUUUCGAGGGCUGCUGAUAAUGCCUGUUAGCCAGAAGAAAGAGCCUGAAUCAUUCAAAGGUUUUCCACCUGGCAAAGAAAUGUGGUAAAAAUCUUGCCCAGAUCUGCAUGUGCUAAGCAUCCAGGUAAGUUGGAGCAUCAUAUUAAUGGCACACAGUGAAGAAAUGAAAGAAUCAAGUGUAAUUACUAUAUCAAAAAUCCACAAAAUGUGAAAGUAUAAAGAAAAACUAUCAGUUGCUCAGCUAAAAACUUUGGAGUUACACAUAUGGACAGCCCACCCCAAGGAAAGAAUCAGAGGAGAAGGUACACAAGACCCCAGAAACACAUGAAGCGCCUUAAUAUGCAUGCUGCAUCUCUCUAAAAUGGUGGAACCUGUUUACCUGCUCUGGAGAAUGGCUGCCUGUGGCAGACAUAGGAGUUGUUCUUAUGCUGUGCUUCCUAUGUUCCACAGUAAUUGAAUUGUAGCUGCAAUGCAGUUACCAACCAGGAAUACAAUUUCUCAGCCCCACAGCUUGCAUCUACAGCUAAGUGUGGACAUAUGACCAGUUUUCAUCAAUUAAGUGUGAAUAAAAACAAAGUGUACCAUCUUAAAGUGUAGACUUUGAAGAAGCAGGACAGCCAUCCCUUGUUCUCUUUCCCCUUGCGCUGGUGGGAUACAGAUGACAAUAAGGCCGUGGGUUUUGAGGUAGCCACAAGAUGCAAAAUGCCUCAGACCUGAGUCACAAUGUGGAAAAGAGAAGCCUACUUGCCUGGAACACCCAGCCUGGUCUAUAAAUGACCAAGAAAUAGACUUCUAUUAUGUUUGAACAUUACAGAUUUUGUUCUGUUAUAGUAGUUUAUCUCACCCUGACUAAACUGUUGCAUAUCUUUCAAGAUAGGCCCUCCUUCCCUGAAAGUGGCUUCUUCAUACAUGUAAUCUAUAUUUUAAUUCAUAUUCUCCAAAGCAUAUCUACAUCUAUUCAACUAUUUUCAUGUGUUCCA